AGUGAACGCUGGCGGUAGGCCUAACACAUGCAAGUCGAACGGCAGCACAGUGAGAGCUUGCUCUUACGGGUGGCGAGUGGCGGACGGGUGAGGAAUACAUCGGAAUCUACUUUUUCGUGGGGGAUAACGUAGGGAAACUUACGCUAAUACCGCAUACGACCUACGGGUGAAAGCAGGGGAUCUUCGGACCUUGCGCGAUUGAAUGAGCCGAUGUCGGAUUAGCUAGUUGGCGGGGUAAAGGCCCACCAAGGCGACGAUCCGUAGCUGGUCUGAGAGGAUGAUCAGCCACACUGGAACUGAGACACGGUCCAGACCCCUACGGGAGGCAGCAGUGGGGAAUAUUGGACAAUGGGCGCAAGCCUGAUCCAGCCAUACCGCGUGGGUGAAGAAGGCCUUCGGGUUGUAAAGCCCUUUUGUUGGGAAAGAAAAGCAGCAGGUUAAUACCCCGCUGUUCUGACGGUACCCAAAGAAUAAGCACCGGCUAACUUCGUG
rnacentral:rRNA from 1 species